AUGGGAGCAUCAACAUUUUUUUACAGGUCAGACUAUGUCGAAUUGGCAGAAAAGGAAGUUAAUUUGGGACUAUUGGUUUCGCUGUUAUUUCUUAGGCUUUGUUAUGUUAUUCAUCUAAAUUUGUUAUGUUAUUCGUCUAAAUUUGUGUUGUUUGACCCACUGUAUACUGUACAGUGCAUGGAACUACCUAUUUCUGACGAAUAUAUUGCUCUCUGGAAAGGUGUGUGUACUGCUGAUUGUGGUGGCGUGUGCAAGGGGCGCCGUUCCCUGUCCUAUGUGGUUCCUCGGCUGCACCCUCCUCUCACGAACAAUCAAUCUAUGUGA
rnacentral:rRNA from 1 species